CCCUUAGAUGUUCUGGGCCGCACGCGCGCUACACUGAUGCAUUCAACGAGCCUAUCCUUGACCGACAGGUCCGGGUAAUCUUUGAAUCUGCAUCGUGACGGGGAUAGAUUAUUGCAAUUAUUAAUCUUCAACGAGGAAUGCCUAGUAGGCGCAAGUCAUCAGCUUGCGUCGAUUACGUCCCUGCCCUUUGUACACACCGCCCGUCGCUACUACCGAUUGAAUGGCUUAGUGAGGCCUCAGGAUCCGCGCUUAAUGUGUGGAGAAUUUGGACAAACUACGUCAUUUAGAGGAAGUAAAAGUCGUAACA
rnacentral:rRNA from 1 species